rnacentral:rRNA from 1 species
AGCAGCCGCGGUAAUUCCAGCUCCAAUAGCGUAUAUUAAAGUUGUUGCAGUUAAAAAGCUCGUAGUUGAAUUUCGGGAUCAAUUAAUUGGUCGUGCCUCUGGUACGUACUGAUUUUAUUGGUUUCUCCCUUCUGACGAACCAUGAUGUCAUUAAUUUGAUGUCGUGGAGAAUCAGGACUGUUACUUUGAAAAAUUAGAGUGUUUAAAGCAAGCUAACGCUCGAAUACAUUAGCAUGGAAUAAUGAAAUAGGACGUUUGAUCCUAUUUUGUUGGUUUCUAGGAUCGACGUAAUGAUUAAUAGGGAUAGUUGGGGGCAUUAGUAUUCAAUUGUCAGAGGUGAAAUUCUUGGAUUUAUUGAAGACUAACUACUGCGAAAGCAUUUGCCAAGGAUGUUUUCAUUAAUCAAGAACGAAAGUUAGGGGAUCGAAGACGAUCAGAUACCGUCGUAGUCUUAACCAUAAACUAUGCC